rnacentral:rRNA from 1 species
CUUGGAGGAUGUAUAGCGAAAGCUAGUUGCAUUAAAUUCGAUUAAUUCGAAGUUAAUGCAUCAUCGACUAUGUCGAAUAAAGUUCUAGGUAGAGUUAUGAUAAUGACAUUUUCUAUCUAUGUGUCUUGACCAAGUCACGUGCCAGCAGUCGCGGUAAUACGUGGAAGACUAGUGUUAUUCAUCUUUAAUAGGUUUAAAGGGUACUUAGACGGUAAAUUAAGCCCAGAUAAAAACNAAGGGUACUAAUUAUACUAGAGUUGGAUAUGAGGAGGGUGUGUACUAGUGGUGUAGAGAUGAAAUUCAGUCAUACCAUUAUGACAGGCAACGGCGAAAGCAACCUUUAGAUAAAAACUGACGUUAAAGGACGAAGGCUUUGUGUCACCAACAGGAUUAGAUACCCAAGCAGUCUUAGCAGACAAUUAUGAAUGCCAUAGGUAAGAAGUUUUUUUUGUCUAUAAAUGAAAGUGUAAGCAUUCCACCUCAAGAGUAAUGUGGCAACGCAGAAACUGAAAUCAUUAGACCGUUUCUGAAACCAGUAGUGAAGUAUGUUGUUUAAUUAGAUGGUCCGCAAAAAACCUUACCACAAUUUGUAUAUUAUUAGCUUAAUACAAGAGUUGCACGGCUGUUUUUAGUUAAUGUCGNGAGAUUUUGGUUAGUUCCAUUAAAUUAACGUAAACCCUUACUUUAUUAUAUUAUAAAGU